rnacentral:lncRNA from 1 species
AAAAAUACAUGGACAAAAAUAAAAAACACACAAAUUUAUAGGGACCAAAAAACUAUUUAAGCAAAAAUAAUAUUAUGCAAGACUAGUUUAUCUCCAACAAGAGUUUUAAUAGGAGUAUGAUGAGAUCCUUGCGUAAGAGGAGAUUUAUUGGUGUCAAAAGGUUAGAGAUCAUUGGAUUAAAUUGGGAGAUUGUAACACCAAAUUUUUUCAUACCAAGAUGGUAAUCAGGCGGAAGAGAGAUAAAGUUCAUGA